UACGUAGGGUGCGAGCGUUGUCCGGAAUUAUUGGGCGUAAAGAGCUCGUAGGCGGUCUGUCGCGUCGAUCGUGAAAACUUGGGGCUUAACCCUGAGCUUGCGGUCGAUACGGGCAUGACUGGAGUUCGGCAGGGGAGACUGGAAUUCCUGGUGUAGCGGUGAAAUGCGCAGAUAUCAGGAGGAACACCGGUGGCGAAGGCGGGUCUCUGGGCCGAUACUGACGCUGAGGCACGAAAGCGUGGGUAGCAAACAGG
rnacentral:rRNA from 1 species